rfam:Dipodomys ordii contig_18809, whole genome shotgun sequence.
GGGAAAGUAGCUCAGUGGUAGAGUGCAUGCCUUGCAAGCAUGAGGCCCUGGGUUCGAUUCCUCAGCACCA